AUUGAACGCUGGCGGCAGGCCUAACACAUGCAAGUCGAGCGAGCGGCGGACGGGUGAGUAAUGUCUGGGAAACUGCCUGAUGGAGGGGGAUAACUACUGGAAACGGUAGCUAAUACCGCAUACCAUCAGAUGUGCCCAGAUGGGAUUAGCUAGUAGGUGGGGUAACGGCUCACCUAGGCGACGAUCCCUAGCUGGUCUGAGAGGAUGACCAGCCAAACUGGAAUUGAGACACGGUCAAGACUCCUCCGGGAGGCAGCGGUGGGGAUUAUUGCAAAAUGGGGGCAAGCCUGAUGCAGCCAGGCCGCGUGUGUGAAGAAGGCCUUCGGGUUGUAAAGCACUUUCAGCGGGGAGUCGUUACCCGCAGAAGAAGCACCGGCUAACUCCGUGCCAGCCGCCGCGGUAAUUC
rnacentral:rRNA from 1 species